CGGGACGGGUGAGUAAUGUCUGGGAAACUGCCUGAUGGAGGGGGAUAACUGCUGGAAACGGUAGCUAAUACCGCAUAACGUCGCAAGACCAAAGAGGGGGACCUUCGGGCCUCUUGCCAUCGGAUGUGCCCAGAUGGGAUUAGCUAGUAGGUGGGGUAACGGCUCACCUAGGCGACGAUCCCUAGCUGGUCUGGGAGGAUGGCCAGCCACACUGGAACUGAGACACGGUCCAG
rnacentral:rRNA from 1 species